GCGCUCUUAGCUCAGUUGGAUAGAGCAUUCGUUUUCUAAACGAAGGGUCCCAGGUUCGAAUCCUGGAGAGCGCGCCA
rnacentral:tRNA from 1 species